rnacentral:miRNA from 1 species
UGGGAGAAAGAGUCAUUACCUGA